rnacentral:rRNA from 1 species
GGCUACACACACGCUACAAUGGCCAACACAAUAGGUUGCUAAGCCGCGAGGUGGCGCCAACCCAUAAAGUUGGUCUCAGUUCAGAUUGUAGGCUGCAACCCGCCUGCAUGAAGAUGGAGUUGCUAGUAACCGCAGGUCAGCUAUACUGCGGUGAAUACGUUCCCGGGGCUU